UACGGAGGAUGCAAGCGUUAUCCGGAAUUAUUGGGCGUAAAGCGUCCGCAGGUGGCAAUGUAAGUCUGCUGUCAAAGCGUCUGGCUCAACCAGAUAAAGGCAGUGGAAACUACAUAGCUAGAGUAAGGUAGGGGUAGAGGGAAUUCCUGGUGUAGCGGUGAAAUGCGUAGAGAUCAGGAAGAACACCGGUGGCGAAAGCGCUCUGCUGGACCUAAACUGACACUGAGGGACGAAAGCUAGGGGAGCGAAUGGG
rnacentral:rRNA from 1 species